rnacentral:rRNA from 1 species
AUUGAACGCUAGCGGGAUGCCUUACACAUGCAAGUCGAACGGCGUGGCGAACGGGUGAGUAAUGUAUCGGAACGUGCCCAGUAGCGGGGGAUAACUACGCGAAAGCGUAGCUAAUACCGCAUUCUUUUGGUCCGGCCGAUACCGGAUUAGCUAGUUGGUGGGGUAACGGCUUACCAAGGCGACGAUCCGUAGCUGGUUUGAGUGGACGACCAGCCACACUGGGACUGAGACACGGCCCAGACUCCUACGGGAGGCAGCAGUGGGGAAUUUUGGACAAGGGGGGAAACCCUGAUCCAGCCAUCCCGCGUGUGCGAUGAAGGCCUUCGGGUUGUAAAGCACUUUUGGCAGGAAAGCGGUACCUGCAGAAUAAGCACCGGCUAACUACGUGCCAGCAGCCGCGGUAAUUC